ACGCACGCUGGCGGCAUGCCUAACACAUGCAAGUCGAACGAGACCUUCGGGUCUAGUGGCGCACGGGUGCGUAACGCGUGGGAACCUGCCCUUAGGUUCGGAAUAACUCCCCGAAAGGGGUGCUAAUACCGGAUAAUGUCUUCGGACCAAAGAUUUAUCGCCUUUGGAUGGGCCCGCGUUGGAUUAGCUAGUUGGUAGGGUAAAAGCCUACCAAGGCGACGAUCCAUAGCUGGUCUGAGAGGAUGAUCAGCCACACUGGGACUGAGACACGGCCCAGACUCCUACGGGAGGCAGCAGUGGGGAAUAUUGGACAAUGGGCGAAAGCCUGAUCCAGCAAUGCCGCGUGAGUGAUGAAGGCCUUAGGGUUGUAAAACUCUUUUACCCGGGAUGAUAAUGACAGUACCGGGAGAAUAAGCUCCGGCUAACUCCGUG
rnacentral:rRNA from 1 species